UACGUAGGUGGCAAGCGUUGUCCGGAUUUACUGGGCGUAAAGAGCGCGCAGGCGGUCGUUCAAGUCGCGUGUGAAAGCCCCCGGCUCAACUGGGGAGGGUCACGCGAUACUGAUCGACUCGAAGGCAGGAGAGGGAAGUGGAAUUCCCGGUGUAGUGGUGAAAUGCGUAGAUAUGCGGAGGAACACCGAUGGCGAAGGCGGCAUCCUGGACCGAGAUUGACGCUGAUGCGCGAAAGCCAGGGGAGCAAACGGG
rnacentral:rRNA from 1 species